rnacentral:rRNA from 1 species
GUUCACCAUCCUCCAAGGCUAAAUACUCCUGACUGACCGAUAGUGAACCAGUACCGUGAGGGAAAGGCGAAAAGAACCCCUGUGAGGGGAGUGAAAUAGAUCCUGAAACCGUAUGCGUACAAGCAGUCGGAGCGGACUUGUUCCGUGACGGCGUACCUUUUGUAUAAUGGGUCAGCGACUUAUAUUUAGUAGCAAGGUUAAGUGAAUAACGGAGCCGUAGCCAAAGCGAG